rnacentral:rRNA from 1 species
UAGCCGUAAACGAUACUCGCUAGGUGUCGGCCACGGUGCGACCGUUGUCGGUGCCGUAGGGAAGCCGUGAAGCGAGCCACCUGGGAAGUACGGCCGCAAGGCUGAAACUUAAAGGAAUUGGCGGGGGAGCACUACAACGGGUGGAGCUUGCGGUUUAAUUGGAUUCAACGCCGGAAAUCUUACCGGGACCGACAGCAACAUGAAGGCCAGGCUGAAGACUUUGCCGGAUUAGCUGAGAGGUGGUGCAUGGCGUAGUCGUGU